rnacentral:rRNA from 1 species
AAAGGAAUUGACGGGGACCCGCACAAGCAGCGGAGCAUGUGGUUUAAUUCGAAGCAACGCGAAGAACCUUACCAGGGCUUGACAUGCCACUGACCGCAUCAGAGAUGGUGCUUUACCUUCGGGUACAGUGGACACAGGUGGUGCAUGGUUGUCGUCAGCUCGUGUCGUGAGAUGUUGGGUUAAGUCCCGCAACGAGCGCAACCCCUGUUUCUAGUUGCCAGCAUUAAGUUGGGCACUCUAGAGAGACUGCCGAUGACAAAUCGGAGGAAGGUGGGGAUGACGUCAAAUCAUCAUGCCCUUUAUGCCCUGGGCUACACACGUGCUACAAUGGUCGGUACAACGAGGAGCAAACCAGUGAUGGCAAGCAAAUCUCUAAAAGCCGAUCCCAGUUCGGAUUGUAGGCUGCAACUCGCCUACAUGAAGUCGGAGUUGCUAGUAAUCGCGGAUCAGAAUGUCGCGGUGAAUGCGUUCCCGGGUCUUGUACACACCGCCCGU